GCGAAAGUAGACUUCGGUCUGCGAGUAGAGCGGCGAACGGGUGAGUAACACGUGGGUAACCUACCUGAGAGCGGGGGAUAACCCGGGGAAACCUGGACUAAUACCGCAUACUAUCUGGAGGCAUCAGUCUCCAGAGGAAAGCUGGCCUAUGCUUGCAAGCCAGCACUUUCAGAUGGGCCCGCGGCCAAUUAGCUAGUUGGUGGGGUAAUGGCCUACCAAGGCGACGAUCGGUAGCCGGCCUGAGAGGGCGAUCGGCCACACUGGGACUGAGACACGGCCCAGACUCCUACGGGAGGCAGCAGUGGGGAAUAUUGGACAAUGGGGGCAACCCUGAUCCAGCAACGCCGCGUGGAGGAAGAAGGCUUUCGGGUCGUAAACUCCUGUCAGUUGGGACGAAAAGUCAUCGGUUAAUAUCCGGUGACUCUGACGGUACCAGCAGAGGAAGCCC
rnacentral:rRNA from 1 species